rnacentral:lncRNA from 1 species
UCAGUUCAGUCGCUCCGUUGUAUUCGACUCUUUGCAACCCCAUGGACCGCAGCACACCAGGCCUCCCUGUCCCUCACCAACUCCCGGAGUUCACUCAAGCUCAUGUCCAUUGAGUCGGUGAUGCCAUCCAGCUAUCUCAUCGUCUGUAUGUACGUAAAAGCUGUUUAUUCCUUUUGAGUUAAGUUUGUUAACUUUAGUUAUCUGUUUAUCAAAUCCUUCUUAGUGCAGAUAUAAGCCUUGGCUUUGUUUUUUGUUUAAAAAUUCCAAAUGGGUCCUCCACAUAUUUUUGAUAUUUUUAAACAUGUUUACUGGAGUCCCAGAAAGGGCAGUUCUUUUCUCUGGAAGAGUCAAGUCCUUCGUGUCCUUAGGCCUGUAUCCACUGCCCCUAUUCCACUUCCAGCCCCGGCUCCACUGUCCAUUUCUGUCUGGUUCCGGGCCUGAGCUGCUUAGCGCAGCGGGAGGAUUGUAUGUGACCAUGUGGCCUGGCCGUCCCCUUGUAUGGUUUCAGAGGCAACCUUCAAGCUUCAGCCUCACCUGUGCCUUCAGCCACCUGCUGAUCUACCUUGAAGACUCCCAGAUGUCUGUCUCAAGUUGUGAGUUUCACCCCCCAGGCUCCAGAUCAUUCUCCGAAACAGCUCACUAUGUAUCUCUGUGUCUUGAUUUUUGUGAUGGUUCAAGGUGUUGACGUGGGUUUGCAGCUUAACUGUGUAAUCUAGUCGUGUGACCAGGGAAGUCACUUCAGCUUUCCUAAGCAGCCUCGGUACAGUGGGGAUGAAGAUGGAGUGUUUGUGAAACACCAGCGCAGUGUUCAGCGUAGAUUCUGUCUCCUUUCUCCUGUUGCUCAGCUGGGUUCUGACCCUCCCGCCCCAUCCCGUCCCCACCCACCUGGCGGGUGGGGAAGAAGAGAAACAUGGCAGUUUCUCUCCUUCUUCUGUUUUCUCCAUCUCGUUUCCCUGCCCUCAUCACCUCUGGCCUAAACGUUUGGUCUCUUCCUGAAAAUUCUUCCCAUUCCUACCAGCAUUUUCUCUCUCAAACACAUCUCUGAUGAGGUCACUCCUCAAAGACCUCCAUGGCUUCUCUCACCUGAGCCCCAUGUGCGCCACGCACGUCCUUUCGCCGUCUUGCCCCCGCCUCCCUCGCACCAUCCCCAGGACAGUCUGGCUUGUGCCACCUCCUGACUGUGCUGUGCCCAUCUGGAUCCUGAGGCCUCUGUCUGCGCUGCGCAGCGGGCCUCCUGGGCUGCCUGGUGAAUUCUGAUCUACUCCAGGACGGCCCAGGAGUUUGAGCAGAGACUGCCUCUCCGGCCUGGGGUCCGCUCUCCUCCCGCGGCAUUUACAAAGGGCAUUGGGUUGGUUGUGUGUCUGUUCCCCUAGACUGUGAGUUCCUUGAGGGCAGGGACGAAGCCUUGCACAGAGCCAUUUCCAAUAAAUGUUGAAUGACUUCAGAGGCCCCUGAGUGU